rnacentral:rRNA from 1 species
CUUUGAUCCAGAGAUUUCCGAAUGGGGAAACCCAGCAUGAGUUAUGUCAUGUUAUCGAUAUGUGAAUACAUAGCAUAUCAGAAGGCACACCCGGAGAACUGAAACAUCUUAGUACCCGGAGGAAGAGAAAGAAAAUUCGAUUCCCUUAGUAGCGGCGAGCGAAAUGGGAAGAGCCCAAACCAACAAGCUUGCUUGUUGGGGUUGUAGGACACUCUAUACGGAGUUACAAAGGACGACAUUAGACGAAUCAUCUGGAAAGAUGAAUCAAAGAAGGUAAUAAUCCUGUAGUCGAAAAUGUUGUCUCUCUUGAGUGGAUCCUGAGUACGACGGAGCACGUGAAAUUCCGUCGGAAUCUGGGAGGACCAUCUCCUAAGGCUAAAUACUCUCUAGUGACCGAUAGUGAACCAGUACCGUGAGGGAAAGGUGAAAAGCACCCCGGAAGGGGAGUGAAAUAGAACCUGAAACCGUGUGCUUACAAGUAGUCAGAGCCCGUUAAUGGGUGAUGGCGUGCCUUUUGUAGAAUGAACCGGCGAGUUACGAUUUGAUGCAAGGUUAAGCAGUAAAUGUGGAGCCGUAGCGAAAGCGAGUCUGAAUAGGGCGUUUAGUAUUUGGUCGUAGACCCGAAACCAGGUGAUCUACCCUUGGUCAGGUUGAAGUUCAGGUAACACUGAAUGGAGGACCGAACCGACUUACGUUGAAAAGUGAGCGGAUGAACUGAGGGUAGCGGAGAAAUUCCAAUCGAACCUGGAGAUAGCUGGUUCUCUCCGAAAUAGCUUUAGGGCUAGCCUCAAGUGAUGAUUAUUGGAGGUAGAGCACUGUUUGGACGAGGGGCCCCUCUCGGGUUACCGAAUUCAGACAAACUCCGAAUGCCAAUUAAUUUAACUUGGGAGUCAGAACAUGGGUGAUAAGGUCCGUGUUCGAAAGGGAAACAGCCCAGACCACCAGCUAAGGUCCCAAAAUAUAUGUUAAGUGGAAAAGGAUGUGGCGUUGCCCAGACAACUAGGAUGUUGGCUUAGAAGCAGCCAUCAUUUAAAGAGUGCGUAAUAGCUCACUAGUCGAGUGACACUGCGCCGAAAAUGUACCGGGGCUAAACAUAUUACCGAAGCUGUGGAUUGUCCUUUGGACAAUGGUAGGAGAGCGUUCUAAGGGCGUUGAAGCAUGAUCGUAAGGACAUGUGGAGCGCUUAGAAGUGAGAAUGCCGGUGUGAGUAGCGAAAGACGGGUGAGAAUCCCGUCCACCGAUUGACUAAGGUUUCCAGAGGAAGGCUCGUCCGCUCUGGGUUAGUCGGGUCCUAAGCUGAGGCCGACAGGCGUAGGCGAUGGAUAACAGGUUGAUAUUCCUGUACCACCUAUAAUCGUUUUA